CCAGCUCCAAUAGCGUAUAUUAAAGUUGUUGCAGUUAAAAAGCUCGUAGUUGGAUCUCGGGUACUGGCAUGUGGUACGCUUUACUGCUGUCACUACAUGUCCGGUCCUAAUUCAUCGGUUGGCCGUUGAUGUCCUUUAUUGGGUGUUUUCGGUAGCCGGUACGUUUACUUUGAGGAAAUUAGAGUGUUCAAAGCAGGCGUAACUCGCCUCCGAAUACGUUAGCAUGGGAUAAUGGAAUACGACUUCGGUCUUGUUUCGUUGGUUUCGCUUGGCUGAAGUAAUGAUUGAUAGGGACAGUUGGGGGCAUUAGUAUUUAGUUGUCAGAGGUGAAAUUCUAGGAUUUACUAAAGACUGACCAAUGCGAAAGCAUUUGCCAAGGAUGUUUUCAUUAAUCAAGAACGAAAGUAGGGGGAUCGAAGACGAUCAGAUACCGUCGUAGUCUCUACCGUAAACUAUGCCGACCAGGGAUCCGGAGAGUUUGCAUGGAUGACUCCCCGGGCACCUUGUGAGAAAUCAUAAGUGUUUGGGUUUUGGGGGGAGUAUGGUCGCAAGGCUGAAACUUAAAGGAAUUGACGGAAGGGCACCACCAGGAGUGGAACCUGCGGCUUAAUUCGACUCAAC
rnacentral:rRNA from 1 species